UACGGGGGGGGCAAGCGUUGUUCGGAAUUACUGGGCGUAAAGGGCUCGUAGGCGGCCAACUAAGUCAUACGUGAAAUCCCUCGGCUUAACCGGGGAACUGCGUCUGAUACUGGAUGGCUUGAGUUCGGGAGAGGGAUGCGGAAUUCCAGGUGUAGCGGUGAAAUGCGUAGAUAUCUGGAGGACCACCGGUGGCGAAGGCGGCAUCCUGGACCGAUACUGACGCUGAGGAGCGAAAGCCAGGGGAGCAAACGGG
rnacentral:rRNA from 1 species